AGCACAACAUUUUUUUUGUAUCGAAAAAAUAUCGAACCGAGACACCAAAGUAUCGAACCGAACCGUGAAUUUUGUGUAUCGUUGCACCCCUAAUAAACAUAAUUAUGAUUGUGCUGAUGCCAGACUACCGUCUCCUUAGUUUAUGUGAUAAUUUUAUGUUAAGGUUCUUGCUGUUUUUAAAAAAAUCUGAGCAUACACAUUUAAACACCAUCGUAAACUGAGUCUAGCCUCUUCUCCUGAACCUUUGCGAACUGCAGUGUUUCUCAGGGACUCUUGAUUCAGUUCUGUUGGCCAACAUUCAACUUUUCAACAGGAGCACUAAGAUGCGACGUCGGCCGGUGGGAAAUUAGAGUAGCUAUAAUGAAUAUAGAAUUAAAUUCUCAAAUUUUAACAUCCAAGGUUGUGUGUAGGACACUGCAGAGCCAAUAGAGAGCCACAGUCACUGUUGCACUAUAGAGGGUAUUAAUGACUGUGCACGGUAGCGGUGUCCUGGCAGCAGGCUGGAAGCAUCUGGAAUGCAGACAGAGUCCUAAUUACAGAGAGGAAUGGAGAACUAAGCAGAGGAACCAGGCUCGCCUGCUCUUUUUGUCAGAGACAGAAUGGAGCCUGAUUCACACGUGUGAAAUGAAGGUUAGUCCCACUCUGUUUGCUAGGACACUGGGGUGAUUUUCCUUUUUUAGGGACCCAGAGUCACACUGAACAAGCUGCAGAAGCAAAAGCAAAAGACCAGGUCUAACCCGGCUAACCUGGAUGCUUUUAUGAACUCCACUUUUUACAAAUUGACGAGCAAUGAUUUGUAAAUCUCAUCAUGUUUUAUUCACAGUAGAACACAGAAAACUGAGAAAAUUUACAGUUUUAAGAAAAAACAAUAAGGUCAUUUUAAAAUUGAUGGCAGCAACACGUCUCUCAAAAGUUGGAAAGAGGGCGAGAAAAGUAAGUGGUAUUAAAACGAAACACCUGGAGGUAUGUUUUGCAUCUAAUUAGCUUAACUGGUAACCUGAUUAGAUGGAAAAUGUAGCCUAAUUAGGUUAAUUAGCAACAGGUGAGUAUAGAAAGAGGAUCUUAGCGAGGCAGUGUUUCUGAAUCUACAAAUUGUAGAAAAAUUUCAGAAUAAUGUUCCUCUAUGCACAAUUCUGAAGACUUUGAAGAUCUCGUUAUCUGCAGUACGUAAGGCAAAAGUUUGAGAAUCUGGGGAAAUCUCAAGGGAUGAGGCCAACAAUCAGUAGUGGAUGCCUGUGAUCUUUGGGCCCUCAGCUGGCAUUGCAUUAAGAGCAGGAAUGACUCGGUUGUUAAAAUCACUGCACGGGAUGAGCAGCACUUCCAGGAAUUAUUGUCUGUGCGCACAGUUCAUCACAAAUGCAAAGAAGAAGCCGAAUGUGAACUUGAUCCGGAAACACCACCAUCUUUUUUCUCUGAGGCAAAGUCCGACCCCGGACAAAGCGGAUGACGAUGGAUGGAUGGAUGGAUGGCAAAGUGGAAAACGGUCGUGUGAUCCGACUAAUCUGAAUUUGAAAAGUGAAAAGUACAUACAGGCUUUAGAGCAACAAAUUCUCCCGUCCUGGUGGAAGGCCUUGCACAUUUCUGCAAGAUAACGUUAAACCACACGCUGCAUCUAUUACAACAGCAUGGCUUCAUAGUAGACGAGUCCAGACCUUUCACCAGUUUGGCAGAAUGAAGAAGAGGCGGGACUGCUGAGCAGAGAGAAGGAGAUAGAGAAGGAUAAACAACAUUCCUCUCCCAGAAGUCCGGCAACUUCUCUCCUCCAUUCCUGAUGUUUACUUUUUUGAUUAUCAAAUUCAAAAUCUGCUAUUAUUUUAUGUAAAAUAGCAUCAUGUCAGAGUUUAAACGUUUGAUAUGUUUUCUAUGUUCUAUUGGGAAUAAAAUAGAAUUCAGGUUACAUUAAAUGAGGGACUUUGAUUUAUUUCUUUGACUAUGAUGUUACUUAGAACUGCUCCAAAAAUGUACUACUGUCCUAAAAAGGUUACUGCUACAUUACACUGUAGUGGGCUUACAAAGAUUACAGCCUAUCAAUGUAUAAGGCUACAAUUUAACAAUGCAAAACUGAUAUAAUUCCUAUAUGUUUUUUUGCUGAUGAUAGCAGGUUUUUACAAGUGAGAAGAGCACAUGGAACAGAUGGAAUAAAUACUGUGGACAAUCAUCUGUUGGAUGAACUUCUUGAACUUUUUCACAUUUAGUGUUGCAGUUUGUUUAGAUAGACUUGGCCUGUGUGUGUGUGUGUGUGUGUGUGUGUGUGUGUGUGUGUGUGUGUAUUACCUGAUGACUUUGCUUCUUAUACCUGCUCCCCUUUAUCUUUGAUUUCCAGCAACUUCUAAGAAAAUGUCUGAAUUUGUUAAAUUCGACUCUCUGCUGCGUUCUGUUUGGAAGAUGAACCAUUGAGCUUAUCUCAAGUUAUUUGCUAGAAACUGCUGGCUGUGAUUUUAUGUUGGCAGUUUGUAAAAGCUGCAGUAUCUAACCUUUACAAAUUAGCACUUGUGAUUUGUAAAACCAAAAAAAUAAGAUGUUAUUUGCGAGUUGGACGUCGAUUCUCAGCGUGAUUGACGGCAACAGGAACUUGUUCACGCAGUCUUCAUUUUGUCCGUGACCGUCUUGGAUGGUCAGCAUCAGAAGUAACAGAUAAUAAAAUAGUAGAAUUGCUGAGCCAAACUGAAACAAUUUGAUAAUUCGAUCUUAACCUGCUUCUACGAGCACCGGCCUUCACCUUCCGGAGCAGAGGCUACACAGAUGUCUUACUUAGAUUCUUACGGCCCCGUGCAAUAGUCUUCAUAUACUCCCAUAUUCUCUGUAGGGCUGCGUGCAUAGAUGCAUCGCACCAUAUUUCCUUCUCUGAAAAACUGAAGAGCAAUUCUAGCGGAGAUAAAGUAUUUGCUGUUGCUUUAUUCUCUUUGUGGUAGUUUCCAUCAUAAUCACCAAACUCUGUAAAGUUUGUGACUUUUUGGUAGCUUGUAAUUUUCUCCCAUGGGCGAAAAUGGGUGGAAAUGGACAGGCUAAGCUUCAUUUAAAUAUAAUACAUCUUUAAAAAGCCUCCCCUUCACCUGCACGUGUGUCAGGGUAAAAGCCAGAAAGGUUCGUGCCCUGCAGACACAGUCAGAAGAUGGGAAAUUGUCUCAAGAUGUGGGACAGGGAGACAAAAGAGAGGGACAUUAUGUCGCCCUAGUUUUGCACGAUUCGUUUAUGGGAUUUAUGUGUUGUGCUCAAAAUGCAGUUGAAGCAGCUGACUGAGAGAUGACAGUUUAAAGUGCCUUUGUUUGGCUUGAUAAUGAUGGUGGGGAGACUGACGAGAUUACCCAAAUUACAGACAUCUGUCUCUGGGCUUUAAUCACUCUUUGAAACCACUGUCAGUUUUCAUUUAAAUGCCUUUUCGAUUCAUUAGUAUAUCCAGCAACAAAACAGCUCUGGCCGCUCUGUUCAUAGAUAUUUUUUCACAGAAUAAUUUUCCAGAGAGAAGCGUAUUCGGCAAAAAAAGCAGCAGGUAUUUCAAAGCAAACAAUGGCCGACCACACGGAGCCACGAGUCAAGUGCUUUUGAACCCUCUUGUUGCCAUGCAGUUUCACAUGCUGCUUCAUAGAGGCACUUUGAAUGGCCUGACAAAGUGGGCACCGGUGCAAAAAACAGAUUUUGUAUUCAGCUGCGGGUGUUUGUGCUCGCCGAACGCAAUUUGAUACACGCGGUCUCGAGUGUCAAGCUAAAGAUCGGCCGGCGGGGCUGCUUUUUCAAACAUGUUGAUUCCAGUUUGUGUGCUGGAGUCGUCACUGUGGUCCUUGCAGUUCAUGCAUUGUUGCGCGUAAUCAGACCCCGUGUGGGUUCGGUCAGCACGUAUGUGAGAAAGAAGCGACUGCCAUAUGAGAAGGAAACCAGUGAGUGUGAUUCUUUUUGCGUGGUAUUGCCAAAGGAUUUGAUUACUCUGCUGCCAAUGUCUUAUUUGAUCAAAAAAGACGUCAGCUGAUGUUGCACAUUAUUUACCUCAGGCCGGGAUAAGCUUGGGUUUUGUAGGUGAAGGCCUAAGCUGUUAGGGCUUUUUAACAUUUGAUGAUGCAUUCCUGCUGUUGCACAGACACAGAUAAGAAAUGUCUCACAGCAGGCUGACGUGUGCUGAUAUUAAGUGUGCGCUCUUGUGUAUUUUAUUGUUCCAGAUUAGACCUAAACCCCGGUUGGAGUUGUAGAUAAAACAGGCAGCUGGCUCAGCUUCCAGGUUUGUCCCCAAAAUUAAUUCAAAAUCAUUUGCUUAAAUAUAAAAUGAUAACAAUAAUUUGAUAACUGGUAGCAGCAGCUGGUGUGAUAUCCCAUGCACAUAUGUACCUUUAGGAUCAAAGCUCAUUCAUGAAAUGUGACCUGAGCGUGGUCCAGCAGACCCGAGGUUGGAGACGACCAGAGAUGUGAAACGUGGCUCUGGAUGCUUUGAUUGCCAGUAACUGCAGGAUUAUACUGUAAGUGUUUAGAUUUUCAUCAGCUGUGGUUUAAAGAAGACUUGCUGAUAUCUGCCCUUUCCUUGAUGACAGAAUGAGGAUUUCUUGCCUUCUAAUUGGCUCGAGCCUCCUUUUGUUUCUCCUUGUUUUAAACCUGGUGCAGGCAGCAGCUCUAAAAGAGCAUCAGUGGCGAUUAUAUGUGGCCGGCACGAUUAUUAAAACCAAGAACUGUUAUCAAGUGAUCGAUGCAGAGUUUUUCAUCUUCUGAAAGUAUCCUCUUAAAGUCCGGGAUGCGUGCAUCUAUGUGUGUGUAUGUGUGUGUGCAUGCUCCUCCUUAAGGAGAUUGGUUCAAUAAUACCAGACUUGAGCAUGAGUCAUAUCUAGUAGGAUAUUGAGUAGAGACUUGCAGAGAACAAUAAACAAAUCUAUUUAUCACAAGGGUAACCAAGAUGAUGACGACAGCAUGGUCUGAUCUGGAAGUUUCCACGAGCCCCGUCUGUUUCUGUGGUCACUCCUGGAUUCGGUGCGUAAAGAUAAACUGGAGAUCCAUCUUUGUUACUGCCCCGUUUUAUUGUUGCAACCCUGUUUCUUAAAUAUUACACGCUUACGUAAUAUAAACGGGAUUCUCAGUUGCACAAUGAUCACAGUGCACCAACACUUUUGAAUUAACUGAAUCAGCACUGCAGGAGGAUGGUCGGGGCGCGUUUAGCAGAUUGCACUUUUACAGAAAUGCUAACAUCUUGCCUGCAUUCUUUCCCUAACCUUCCCCAAGUGUUGGCACUCGCAGCACAAACAGUAUGGACAUAACGAAUUAUUGUAAAUGUAUGUAUGCUGAUCUAAAAGUGAGAAGCAGUUCCCUUCAAAACAUACUGGAGUUGAAAAUUGCUCGGACACAGCGUGGCCUUCUCAUUAGACUUGGUACUCUGUAGUCAUACCUCAGCAGUGCACUGUGUGUAGAUCACUGCUGGAAAUGC